rnacentral:lncRNA from 1 species
GAGAGGAAGUGCGCCCAACGCCAUAGGGAGGUCAAGAGAGUCAAGGAUAGAAACAAAUGUGUCCAUUAGAUUAGCAACCAAGAAGGACUUAGAGCGCUCAGCGCAAGGAAUUUCUGUGAAGUGGGAGAGACAGACUGCAGAUGUUGGGAUUGUGCAAAAAGAAGAUAUUUGUCUGGAGUUUAUACUUAAAAAUAACUGUUGUUAAGCCAAAGAAUGUGGGGGUACUUCUUCUACACAGAUCCUCCUUCUGAAGAUGUUGGUCUUCUUCCUUGCCUGCCACCCCCUCCCACACUUGAUUCAAAUGGAAGGUUGACUUUCUUGGAUGGCAAGAGAAAAUUGUGGUGAUUGGCAGUGAAUAGAAGAGAACUACAGUCCCUGGAAAACCUGAUAGUGAUGCGGCAAUGCGAGAAUUUGCCAAUUCUGUGGCGGCCAGCCAAUGCCAAAGUUCUUGACUGGUUCCUUUUAUUUUAUCUAGAAUCAAAAUACCUGCAAGGCAGAGAACAGAUCCUUCCACAUUAGAUGCAAUAUUAGCAGACUGUGGAGGGUUGAUAAAGUCUGUUGAAGUUUUAUAGCUUUUGUUGGUGGCCUCCCAAGCCCCCAUGUACUAAUUUGACUUCCCAGUUUCAGUUUGGGGCUCCA